rnacentral:rRNA from 1 species
AGCGAACGCUGGCGGCAGGCCUAACACAUGCAAGUCGAACGAACCUUUCGGGCUUAGUGGCGGACGGGUGCGUAACACGUGGGAACGCGCCUGUAGGUUCGCAAUACUUCAGGGAAACUUGUGCUAAUACCGAAUGUGCCCUUCGGGGGUAGGAGUUAUCGCCUGUAGAGCGGCCCGCGACCGAUUAGCUAGUUGGGUGGGGUAAUGGCUCACCACGGCGUGGAUCAGUAGCUGGUCUGAGAGAAUGAGUAGCCACAUUGGGACUGAGACACGGCCCACAAUCCUACGGAAGGCAGGAGAGGGGGAUCCAGCGCGAUGGGGGACAGCCUGACGCAGCCAUGCCGGGUGAAUGAUGAAGGUCUUAGGAAAAUGAAUUUCUUUAACCGGGGGCGAUAAUGACGGUACCCGGAGAAGAAGCACCGGCUAACUACGUG